rnacentral:rRNA from 1 species
GAUCAUGGCUCAGGAUGAACGCUAGCGGCAGGCUUAACACAUGCAAGUCGAGGGCAGCAUGAAGGUUAGCAAUAACCUUUGAUGGCGACCGGCGCAAGGGUGCGUAACGCGUGAGCAACUUGCCCGUUUCAGGGGGGAUAACCGGUGGAAACGCCGACUAAUACCCCAUGGCAUCGUCUGGAGGCAUCUCCAUUCGAUUAAAGAGUUUCGGAAACGGAUAGGCUCGCGUGACAUUAGCUAGACGGCGGGGUAACGGCCCACCGUGGCGACGAUGUCUAGGGGUUCUGAGAGGAAGGUCCCCCACACUGGAACUGAGACACGGUCCAGACUCCUACGGGAGGCAGCAGUGAGGAAUAUUGGUCAAUGGAGGCAACUCUGAACCAGCCAAGUAGCGUGCAGGAUGACGGCCCUAUGGGUUGUAAACUGCUUUUAUGCGGGGAUAAAUGAUCCUACGUGUAGGAUUUUACAGGUACCGCAUGAAUAAGGACCGGCUAAUUCCGUG